rnacentral:rRNA from 1 species
AACGAACGCUGGCGGCAUGCCUAACACAUGCAAGUCGAACGAGACCUUCGGGUCUAGUGGCGCACGGGUGCGUAACGCGUGGGAACCUGCCCUUAGGUUCGGAAUAACUCCCCGAAAGGGGUGCUAAUACCGGAUAAUGUCUUCGGACCAAAGAUUUAUCGCCUUUGGAUGGGCCCGCGUUGGAUUAGCUAGUUGGUAGGGUAAAAGCCUACCAAGGCGACGAUCCAUAGCUGGUCUGAGAGGAUGAUCAGCCACACUGGGACUGAGACACGGCCCAGACUCCUACGGGAGGCAGGAGUGGGGAAUAUUGGACAAUGGGCGAAAGCCUGAUCCAGCAAUGCCGCGUGAGUGAUGAAGGCCUUAGGGUUGUAAAGCUCUUUUACCCGGGAUGAUAAUGACAGUACCAGGAGAAUAAGCUCCGGCUAACUCCGUG